GAUGAAGAACGUAGCGAAAUGCGAUAAGUAGUGCGAAUUGCAGAAUUCCGUGAAUCAUCGAAUCUUUGAACGCACAUUGCGCCUUCUGGUAUUCCGGAAGGCAUGCCUGUUCGAGAGUCAUUAACAACCGUUUCGAUCCCUUUCUUUCAGAAAUUACAAAGAGGAAAAGGGUUUGGUUAUGGUGGAGGAGGGAAAGGGAGCGUUUAGCCUGUAAAAAAAGAGGCUGUGUUCCGCCUCCCCCCCAAAAUUGUACAGGCGGUCGUGUGCGCCCACGCAUCGAGGUGUUGUAAAAGCUGCCACGGCACUUUUCACCUGUGCAGUGCGAGAUUGGCCAGCCGGUUUAAAAACCCCUCCAAACAAUCAAAGGUUGACCUCGGAUCAGGUAGGGAUACCCGCUGAACUUAAGCAUAUCAAUAAGCGGAGGA
rnacentral:misc_RNA from 1 species